AGGCCAGGGGAGCACACUCCAUAAGCGAG
rnacentral:tRNA from 1 species